rnacentral:rRNA from 1 species
GUGGGGAAUCUUAGACAAUGGGGGCAACCCUGAUCUAGCCAUGCCGCGUGAGUGAUGAAGGCCUUAGGGUCGUAAAGCUCUUUCGCUGGGGAAGAUAAUGACGGUACCCAGUAAAGAAACCCCGGCUAACUCCGUGCCAGCAGCCGCGGUAAUACGGAGGGGGUUAGCGUUGUUCGGAAUUACUGGGCGUAAAGCGCGCGUAGGCGGAUUGGAAAGUUGGGGGUGAAAUCCCGGGGCUCAACCCUGGAAUGGCAUUCAAAACUCCCAGUCUUGAGGUCGAGAGAGGUGAGUGGAAUUCCGAGUGUAGAGGUGAAAUUCGUAGAUAUUCGGAGGAACACCAGUGGCGAAGGCGGCUCACUGGCUCGAUACUGACGCUGAGGUGCGAAAGCGUGGGGAGCAAACAGGAUUAGAUACCCGGGUAGUCC